rnacentral:rRNA from 1 species
GGAGCCGAUGAACCAGACUUGUAGUAGGUAAGCGAUGGGGUGACGCAGGAAGGUAGUCCAGCCCGGGCGGUGGUUGUCCCGGGGUAAGGGUGUAGGACGCACGGUAGGCAAAUCCGUCGUGCAUAUAAGUCUGAGACCUGAUGCCGAGCCGAUUGUGGUGAAGUGGAUGAUCCUAUGCUGUCGAGAAAAGCCUCUAGCGAGUUUCAUGGCGGCCCGUACCCUAAAC